CACAUGCACAUGGACGUCGAAGGCGGAGGUAUUGUACGUGUUCCUGGAGGCCACGACUUAUGUCACAUGCUGCUCAAGAAUGCACAUCGACUUCUUCAGAAGGUUCAGAAGAGGUCUUCUUCAGAAGGUUGGCGUAAAGCCAGCAAUUUUAAUGCAGCCAGUCUGUCUGUACGACCACUUGGUGCAAACUUUCAUUUUUGUGUUACACACACACUCAAUACAAUAACUGUAAUAAAAGAUUUGAAAAAUACA
rnacentral:lncRNA from 1 species